CAGUCAUGAGAGCACAAAAAAGAUGGACCAGAGAGAUGCAUAUCAAGGACAAAGAUGCCGGAGAGGAAGAUUGAAGCUACUUGCUUCAGGAAUGCCUUUCCCACCUCUACCCACAUGGCCUCUAUGGAGACAAAUCUCUUCAGUCCUCCCUACAUGAAACCCAGCAUGAUUACAGAAUCCUAGGCAGAGCAGUGAGACAAGAAGUCAAGGAAUUAGAACUCAAAAGGAAAAAGGAGACAGAAACCUUUGAAGAGGAGAGAGAAAUGGAAAGUGUAUGCAAUGCGUGUGAGCACUGGUGUCAAGUUGAAGUGCAAGGCGGGUGAGGAGCAAUGAAGGCUGAGUCAUUACGAGGUGGGUAGCAUGGAGGUGAGAGGUGUAACGUCCAGCGAUGGGCGGGGGAGUGUGGUGAGGCUUUUGGAGGACUAGUCUACAGCUAUCGGUGUUCAAGGUGAGGAAAAGUACUGUGCAUCACUACGCUCCGACCAACAGGGAUUUUCUCAGUCCCACACCAACCAGGAGAAUGCUUAUCGCCCUCCAUUUGAAGGUAGCAGUGAGCAGGGAGGACAUAAUGUCUGUGCUCAGGACUGCUUGGAGAGCUUAUUCUCCUUCCCUCAAAGAGAGACUGGUGCUCCAAUCUGAGGAGGAAGAGCCAGACUUUCAGCUUCAAAGGUUGGUUCAUGCACUGGGGAAAAUUUGGUAACUGAGGAUUUCCAAGACAUCCAGAGACCUAUACUCCAGUUGCACACAGUGUCCUGGGCUGGAGAUUACCAUAGGAUGCAGAGAAACCUGGUAUCAAGACCCACAGCCUUGAGGAGGUGGGGCAAGAUCUCUGUGUUGGCCUUGUGGUCAGGGGCAGGAGACAAGACUCUACUAGAAAAAGAUGGCCAGGAGUUCAGACACAGCAGCCUUCUCUGGAGUAGGAGAUGCAGAUAACAA